GGGUUGGGUGCUGCAGGGGGGAAUCUGGGCAAAUGGCACAGCAAAACGGAGGAGUAUUUUUUUUUUUUUUUUACCUUGGAGGUGCUCCAGCUGAUUGCCUUGCCCAGAGGUGGCUCCCAGUGGGCUGUGGGGCACAGCGGUUAGGAGCCGACCCCGGAGCCGGGGCCCCAUCCUCAGGAUGCGCACACUCAGGGGCCGAAGGCAGUGAUUAGUCAACCGGAGCUGAACGCGGACUCUGGUGUGAAUCUUAAUCAGACUCUUUCCCAUGGUGGCCCAGGAAGGCAGAUACUUCUUCAGUGGAAACCAGCUGAUCUCUUCAUGGAAACCAGCCAGGUAGAAGGAGAAGGCGGAAAACCAGCUAGCGACAAAGGAUUUUCACUGAUCUCAUGCCAUGGCAGCCCCUUUGCAGCACCUCCCGUGCUGGAGAGUGAAGGUCGGUGCCGCAAGUCUCCGACCUUCAGCGAGCAGGCUGAGCUGCAGGGAAGGGGCAGCUCCCAGAGGCCAACGUUAUCAGGGCACUGACCAGUCAGAAGCACUUAGAGCCAUAAAAAGUAACGCUUUCCAGCCUGUAGCUGUUUCCCUGAGGCCCAAAUAAGGGCCCCAGACCUCUAAGAGGGUGAGGGUCUGAGAGAGGACAGGGGACAGUCCCAGAGGGUAGGGGGAAUCAAGACUGUCCAGAAAAUCCAAGAUGUGAAGCUACAAAGACAAUGGGCUUUGCGUUGGGUAGCUCUGGGGCUGGAAAGGGGCUGUGUCCCAUCCUCCACGGGGCUCCACACUGUUCGGCCGGCUGCCGAGGGGUGCCCCCCAGGGCGUGUUGGUGAGAGGAACUGACACACCUGAGUGUCCUCUCUGGGUCAGGCCUGAAAAAAUAACCUGUGUUAUCCUGGCAUCCCUGAGAGCAGAGGGCAGGGCCAAUCAAUGUAGUCAUCUUUUAAAGGGUCUCAGUUCAUUGAUUACUUGGUUUCAUUGGAACUGGAAUGUCAUGUUAAUGGUUUCUGCAAUUUUCCCCAUUGUUUUUGGAGAUAGCAAACAAAGCUUUCCCCAAGAAAAGGCAAAUGGGGUCUGUGAUACUAUGUGUCUUGUGGACUAUAGGAAAGACAGUUCAUGAUGGAGCACGAACCAGUUUCAAAUGUUCACAACUUCCUGGGAGUUUUGAGGGUUUGUGCCAUUUUUCUGAGUUCUGCAUCACAUCCCUCUCACCCUUCCCUGCCUGGCUGGGGUGGACGAGCUGUGUUAGGUAGGUGCUUUAGAGGCAAAACCCCCUCUUGAGAGAUGGUGCAGCUGAACUCUCGCCUCCUGAAAUAAUCCAGUCUUUAUUUCCCCAGGCUUGAUGAUCCCUGCACUGACAGAGCCACUUAGCUACUGAAGUCUUGUAUUUUUUCCACAUCCAAACCAGAUGUCCAUCUGCCUCGCCUCACCCUGAGUUUCAUUCUGCCUUUACAGAUCCCGCUCGGGUGAUACAGAGUGAGCCAGUGAUGCUUCACAUCAAACCAGAGAGCCUCCCGGACAAGUGGCAGAGCCAUCUCCUUCCUAACCUAAGCGGGUCUUCACUUUCAUCAACAAGCAGCAUUCCCACAGGGAGGGCGAAGGGCCUUCCCUUCCCGGCCUCCAGGACAGAGACAGGGUUGAAGCAAUCCUACUGCUGUGUCCUGCUGCUUGAGAUUUUCUGAGGUCCUACAAAAUGGCAUGUUCUGGAAUGAAAGCUUCCACUGUACCCCUGUAUCCAGCCUGUCGGGCAAGCCGGCUCAGUGACAACAGCUGGAGAGCAAUAUUGCGAGUCUACUCACAGAACUGACGGCCCAGAGGUGGGGGCGGCAUCAGCCUCAGCUGGGGUUAUCUCGUUCAGUGAAGACACACAGACUUUGUCUCUCCUCCUGUCUCCAUCCACCUCCUCCAGAUGGAGGGAACAGUAGUGAGAGAUGGGGCAUGUUGGGCUUCCUGAGACAGUGUUAAAGAAUUCAGGUAGCAAGAGGACAGAUUUCUACAACUGAAGUAGAAGGCGGCUGCAGCUACUGGAAUGCUUCAGAGCAAGAGUUUUAAUUUCUUGUGUAACUGCCUCAGCCAGCCUGAUCAUUUAAGCUGUGGAGACUGGUCACCAGAUCUGGAACACAAGUGAAAGCUUCUUGACAGAAGGCAAGUUCAGAACUGCAUGGAACAUGGUAGAUUCCAUUUACAAAGGUCUCUCCCAAAGGUCUAGCCCCAUACUCUCAGACGUCCAAACCCUCCUGGACCACAGCUCAGCAGGGCUUGAUGGAAUUCCCUUUCACCUGACACCCAGCUGGUGUGCCCACCCACUGGAGGAAGCCUUCUCCCUACCCCUGGAGAAACCUGCCGCUGUCUCUAAGGCAUAUUCACUUCUUUCAAAGGUCUGUGAGGAACUGGUCCAAGUGAUAAUUUAAAGGAACCCGUGUCACCUCCAGAGCUCAUGCUCACCUUCCAUGAUGGAGAUGUGAACAGCUCUUCUCCGGGUCCUAGGGACGCUGCUCAGCCUUGGGCCAUGGGUUAUGGAGGGACAGCUGCGGCUGGGAACCAUCCCUGCUCUGAGGUUAAAGAAAAAGGGAACUGUUAACUCAGCACACAGAUUUGGUCAGGACUCAGAGUUGAGGAGUGGUCACUAGAACCUACCUAGCUGUGUUGUUUUAUUUUGGUUUUUUUUUUUUAAAUCUUUAAUGCCUGCCUUUUGCCUUUACUCCCUGGAGCCCGGUCAGAGACACUGCUUGUCAACUUUCUUAUAUCCCAGACCCACCUGAAUCUUCCUUUAGUGUGGCAACGGUGCCACUGAUCUCUGGGCAGGAUGUCAGGGAGGAGAGCCCAGGAUAUGCACUACUCCUAAAAAUGGGCCUGAGACCGAUAUGGCAGCCUCCCUUGACCUCCAACAGAAGCGACAGAUGUGAAGGCAGGUAGUACUGUUCCCAUUCCCAGAGGUCAGGCUGGUGGGCAAACCCUGGCCCUCUUGGCCAAUCAUGUUUUUCUUGGGUCUAUCAGGUUCGAGAAGAUGGGCUUCUGGACAUGCAUGAUUUACAAUUUUACAUAAAGCAUGGGUCCUAAAACUAUUUCAGACCUAGUAUGACUGGCUUCCUGUAAUGGACUGAUUCUAGAACCAAUGGAAUCUUGCUGCAUGGACAUGUCCUCCAUGGUCUAUGACCAAUUUCAGGACUUGGGAGGACAGUGCAGAAUUACCCAGGAAGGUGGCUCCUGGGUCUGAUGUACUGUCUGCAUUAGUCUGCCCUCCCUCAUUCUCCAUCAAGGCUCAGGGAACCAGGGCCAGACUGUUCCCCAUGCCUCAGCUGAAAUGGGUCUCUUCACCCUCCUGCUCUGUUCAGGAGCCAUCACAGCCAGAAUCCCCACAGUAUGCACACUGCUGGCUCUUUUAAGAUUCUGAGAGCUCAGCUGGACUUGGUUUUGGGGGAAGCCCCUGGCAGCCUACCUGUGUAUUUCCGGUGGCUCCCGUUUGAUCUUGGCACUUGAUUCCAUUACCUCCUUCGCAACUCGGCCACUAGAAUUGGUGUAAUAAAACAAGCAGCAAGGAAUGAGACAGUGUUCCAGGACCGGGCUCCUCUCCAAGAUCUCAGAUACUCUGGCUGAACUGGGAAGUGGCCUCUUUGGCCCCCCCCCUUCCCAAUGUUUAGGUCACUGAGGAAGGCUGGCUGGGGUAAAGGGCUCUAAGGUGUCCUGAUGGCUUUCUUAGAGAGCUCCCUCUCUCUCUGAAGUCUUUGGGGUCUUCCAUUCUCAUUUAGGAAUGAUUCCUCACUGUCCAGCAUGUUCCAAAAAUAUUGCAAAAACUCUUUAGACAGACAUGAAUAGAAUCACUGGCACGGUUCUUAUUUUGCUGCUGUUUUAAGGGCAGGAGGAGACAAUACACAUUUUAAGCCCCACAGACAAACAGCCUCAGGGAUGGAAAGAAAGAGUCAAAGGGUUAGGAGACAGGAGAAUUGGAUGGAAACCUCACGCUUUUCUGGAGGCUCCCAGUGUCUUUGUUCUCAAGGGUAAGGACCACUGAGCCACUGUUCUCCAGAGAAGGGUCUAAAAAUAGGUCCAUAACGGUUACUUACUGUCACUAUUUACCUGUAUCGGAACCGGCUCCCUUUAAAGAAUAAAUUGCUGCUGGACACUG